UACGAAGGGGCUAGCGUUGCUCGGAAUCACUGGGCGUAAAGGGUGCGUAGGCGGGUCUUUAAGUCAGGGGUGAAAUCCUGGAGCUCAACUCCAGAACUGCCUUUGAUACUGAAGAUCUUGAGUUCGGGAGAGGUGAGUAGAACUGCGAGUGUAGAGGUGAAAUUCGUAGAUAUUCGCAAGAACACCAGUGGCGAAGGCGGCUCACUGGCCCGAUACUGACGCUGAGGCACGAAAGCGUGGGGAGCAAACAGGG
rnacentral:rRNA from 1 species